rnacentral:lncRNA from 1 species
UGACACUCAAAUUCGGCGCCAACUAGUGCAUGAAGGAAGUGUGACUUUCGUUCCUAGUUUGGCACCUCCUAACUCCUAUCUACACUCCCCCUAGCAUCCCUUACUACUUACACACCUAUUUAUUACAUUCGCACCCCUACUCUAUAAAAGAAAUAAGAAGAGCCAUCUUUUGAUACUCUUGUCCCAAAGCUCUUGCCAUGCUCCUAGUGAUUCGUUGGGCUUGGGCACCUUGUUGGGCUUGGGC